GACGAACGCUGGCGGCGUGGCUAAGGCAUGCAAGUCGUACGGAACUUCCUAAGUAGCAAUACGAGGGUUGUUCAGUGGCGGACGGGUGAGUAAUGCAUGGGUAACGUACCUUGAGCACAGGGAUAGCGUCGGGCCCGCAAGGGUCCUUUGCGAAAGUGACGGUAAUACCUGAUGACAUCGCGAGAUCACAUGUUCUUGCGAUCAAAGGGCGGGGAUCUUCGGACCUGCCGGCUCGUGAGCGGCCCAUGUCCUAUCAGCUUGUUGGUGGGGUAACGGCCUACCAAGGCUAUGACGGGUAGCCGGCGUGAGAGCGCGACCGGCCACAUCGGAACUGAGACACUGUCCGGACACCUACGGGUGCUGCAGCAACGAAUAUUCCGCAAUGGGCGCAAGCCUGACGGAGCGACGCCGCGUGGAGA
rnacentral:rRNA from 1 species